rnacentral:lncRNA from 1 species
GCUGGAUGAAUCAAGUACAAGUUCCAAGAAGGACGUUCAUGCCCAUUGUCGGUGUCAAAACCGGCGGAUCUCGGGUAGGGGGUCCCGAUCUGUGCGUCAAGGCUGAUGGUAACAGGAAGCAUGGGACACAGAUGUUGGUUCUGGCCCUCUCGAUGGAGGUAAAACCCUACUUCCUGCUUGAUUAAUAUUGAUGAUAUGGGUAGUACAAGAGUAGAUCUACCACGAGAUUGUAGAGGCUAAACCCUAAGAGCUAGCCUAUGAUGGUAUGAAUGUAAUUGUGAUCGGCCUUCUAAGGACCAACCUCUUCGGUUUAUAUAGACAUCGAAGAGAGCUAGGGUUUACAUGGAGUCUGUUACAAGGAAGGAAAUAUAAUAUCCGGAUCGCCAAGCUUGACUCCCACGCAAAGGAGAGUCCCAUCCGGACAUGGGCCGAAGUCUUGAGUCUUGUAUCUUCACGCUGUAUACAGUCCGGCUGUCCCGAUACCCCCUAAUCCAGGACUCCCUUAGUAGCCCCUGAACCAGGCUUCAAUGACGAUGAGUCCGGCGCGCAGUAUUGUCUUCGGCAUUGCAAAGCGGGUUCCUCCUCCGAAUUCUCCAAAGUGGUUAUCGAACACGCAGGCCGUGUCCGGAUCUGCAAGAUGAUCUUCACAUGGCAUAGAUCUAUUUUGUGGGCAAUCUUCAUGCGUCGUCCCUUGUAUCGUGACUUGGUCCAUCACAAACCGUCGUUCCCUAUCCCACAAUGACUCGUGUUACGAGGCGGUUUUAUUGGCACGUCCCGUCGAGGCAGAGAUUGUGUCCCUUUUAUUAUGGGAUUUUCCAUCAAUAUGAGCGUGCGUGACCCCACGACGGCUAUUGGUAUAACCCCGUGUGUUUUUAGGUAAGCCUCAAACGUCACAUCAGGGACUCUUGAUAUUCACCUUCUUUAUAAAGGGAUCAAGACCUAUGCCUCUUUUUUCACCUUCAUCGCGCCUUCUCGUACCUCGAGUUCUAAAACCCAAAGCCCAGGCUCCACUUCGCCGGAAUCCUCCAAUAUGUCCGGAUUCAACACUCAAGGCCGAUGGGUGGCCUCCUCGAUCGAAGAGAAGGACAUUGAAAAACUUAGGGAGGUCAGAUACCUAACCACAGAUAUCCAGCACAGGCUCCCUGCUCCAGGGCAGGUCAUCCCUACGCCAGAACCCAAUGAGUGUGUUGUUUUCGUCCCACACUUCCUCCGCAGUUUGGGUUUCACCCUCAAUCCCUUCGUGAGGGGGCUCAUGUUCUAUUAUGGGUUGGAUUUUCAUGAUCUGGCUCCAGAUGCCAUCCUCCAUAUCUCGUCGUUCAUUAUCGUGUGCGAGGCUUUUCUCCACAUCACCCCGCACUUUGGCUUAUGGCUCAAGACCUUCAAUGUGAAGCCGAAGAUGAUCGGGGGGCGACAUGUGGAGUGCGGAGGUGUUGUAAUAAGCAGAAACACCGACGCCCCAUGGCCGGAGGGUUCUUUCCUAGAAGUAUCUGACGUAUGGGAGCAGAGGUGGUUUUAUGCUAUGGCCCCAAGGGGCACAAAGUGGGUAGCCGCCCCUGAGUUCCGCUCGGGCCCUCCAUCGUAGUUGGCAUCCUAGAUAGACGUAGGGCGUAAAUGGGGGGCCGCAGGCGAUGUACCAAUACUGCAGAACUGCAUCUAGGAGCUUCUCGAGAGGGAUAUCAACCUUGUUAGCGUAAUGCAAGUGAUGUUAAUCCGGCGGAUGUUGCCGUGCCAACGCCGGCCUCUUCGGAUGUGGGAGUUCAAUCCGAGGGUCCGCAGACCGUGAAGCACUUCUUCGGCUUGAAGCUCGAAGAGAUGUGCAAAUUAUUCUUCGAACGGAAAGUAGUGUGUCCAGAUACCACCGAGGAUGCGGGCCUAAGCUACAAUCGCCUAGAUACUCAAGUAAGUAGCCUUGAUACCGGACACCCUGUUUUGUAUUUGUCAUGAUUGUUUAUUCUGAAACUCAUCCGCGUCCAGGAAUGGCUCAGCAAGGCGGAGAGAAUUAGGUGUCCGGCGCCACUUCCCGAAGGCUCGCCCGCCCCCACCAUGGCCAAGAUGCUCGACCGGGUACUCAGCAGAAUGCCCUCGGGGAAAGAUAAGGGGAGGAACGAAGAAACCGAACCCCACAUGCUACGCAUCCGAACCGGGGGAAUUAUUACCUCCCCCAAGGAUGAUAGUCGGGGAGGGGAGGCUAAAGCCUCCACCCCGCGCGGGAAGAAGAGGGCCGCCUCCGAAGAUUUGGAGGUGGAGAUGCCCAAAUUAGAGAAAAAGACAUCCCUAGGGGGCCUUGCCCUGACGGGCACCCUCACCGCACCAUGCCCUCCAACGGGCCAGCCCUCCACCGAGCUGUAAGUCAAUCUACGAUCCGAAGGUACUGUGUUUCUCCUAGAUCAAUAACCAGGAUUCAACUUUUUGCAGUCCGGCCAGCAGCUCCUCUCAACAGGGUUCAUCUUCGGGGGACCUUCCUCCGGAGAUGAUGGAGAGUGAGACCCCACCCCCUCCGACUCAUGAAGCGGGCGACACCGAGGUGUCAUCACGGAGGAGUCCGGAUCUGCCAAAGCUGGAAGUCAAUCCAUUAGCCGCCCUACACCCGGAGCAUUUGGCUACAACGGGGGGCGAUGGGAAGAGUCCGGCGCAGUUCGAUGUCCGGUCGGACGUACUGACGGGCUUGCUGGAGCGAGCUGCGCUCUCGGAGGAGCACCACUCAUUAAUGAGCAUGGUGCUCAAGAAGAUUUCAUCCGCUACAAGCGGUUUGAAUGAAGCAUUCACAAGCCUGCUCAGAGGCUUUGAGGUAUGUAAUGGAGAACUCACUAUUUCUUUGGUUGUAAGGCACGCGCUAGGUGUGCUCCAUAUAGAUAGUAGCCCCUGAGACUCUGGUUGCCCGCCCUAGGCAGCAAACGGGGGAUCAUAAACCAAUGAUAGUGCUGUAAAUGUGUGCAGGUACCUGUGGGUCCGGACGUCGGCCAGUCCGUCGAAGUUGCCAAACUAACGAGGCAAAUUGGAUCGAUUGAUGCCGAUAUCACGCUGGUGAAUGAGCGGCUAGACAAAUAACAAGGUAUGUGUCAUGCCUUCCCUUGUAUAGAGAAAAUAUGAAGAUGGCAUGAUAUUGAUGUAGUAUGUUUGGACUGCAGAUGGUGCUGCUGCCGUAGAGGCCCUGAGGGCGGAACUUGCUCAAGCCAAGGAACAAGCUCGGGUGAGCAAUGCGGCUGCCCUAAAGGCGGCCGAGGAACUGAGGGCCGAACAAGCUGCUCAUCGCCGAAGCGAGGAAAAGAUAGCCGAAAUGGCUAUUGAGUUAAAAGAUGCCGCUGACCGGUAUGAGCUCCUUAAAAAGGAGUGUGAGGGUAAUUCGGCCGAACUGAACAAGGCGCUGAAUGCCACCAAGGAAAUCUGGACCGAGCUCAAGGGUGCGUGGGAAGCUUCGAUAGGCUGGUGAAAUCGCGGUUGGGGGCUCCUAUUUACUGCGGACGAAAUUUUUUGAUCCGAAGUACGCUCCCUUGGAUGGACGUUGGAGUCCGGCGGACGCAUAUACGGAUUUGACGAAGAGUACAGCUGACGCUGCCGACUUCUUCAAAGGUCAAGGUGACAAGGAAGUGGAGAAGCUUUUUUGGUCGCAAUUCCAUGCUCCCAUUUGCCCGCUGCCGUUGAGUGACAAGAUGGCUGCUGUAGCGGAGCUUCACAGGCUGUCCGGGCUUGCAAUGCGGUCUGUAAUAGAUCAUCUUUGGCCGAAGGGGCCUAAGCCGGACAACUACUUUGGUUUGGUGCAACAGUUCCUUGGGGCCGUGCCUCGGAUCGAUGCCAUGAGGAGAUCAGCGUGUAUAGAGGGUGCAUGGAUGGCUCUCGUCCGCGUUAAAGCCUAUUGGACGGAUAUGGAUGCCACCAUGAUAGCGGCCCAGGAUCCGGUGGGGGGCCAAUAUUCGGCUGAGCACUACUUGGCGUAGGUCAUAGAAGGUGCCCGUCUAGUAGAGGCGCAGUGCUCGAAGAAUGUCCUGUUUGAAUGAACGGAAUCAUUGUAAAAACAAUGUUUAUUUUGAUUAUGAGGCUAGAUUUAUACUAUUUGCCUGAGAAUAUGAUUAUUUCCCCUGUGCGGCCAUUUAUAUAUAUAUAUAUAUGUAUAUAUAAAUAUGUAAUCCGAAAGUUAGCAGUCGUUGGCUUCAGCCCCCACGCAUACAAUACGGGGGUGUUCACGAAAAAAUAUGCUUAAUCACACUUGAUCCAAUGUCUUGGUCCAUUAAGGAGGUGAUCGCACGACGAACUAGGCAACCGGACUAUAUAGCUGUAACACUUUCGCUUAGCCACGGGAUUCUAAAGUGGGGCUACUAUGUAGCCCCUGGUACCUUCGUGUGCAUCCGAAUACGAGCGCGUAUGUACCAGGCUGGGAAAUGGCCCUUCGUUAAUGCGGAGGAAUCCUAAAGAUUCCAGUGAGUCCUCGAGUGGUUGACCAGUCUCUCGCUGUAUCAUAACAGUCUGUUUUCGGCUUUCUCUACCGAGGUGCUCGUCCGGAAUAACCAGGGCACAAUCGCAGUAGUUCUCCUUUGGCCACCCUAGCCGAUAAUAACGGAACGUAAGGCGGCAAACCCAGGAGCCGGGCAAACCCAACAUUUGACCAAAGACAUGAUCCGGAGUUGAUGCAUAUAAGGCCUAACUCGUGACGUCGAACACUCUCGAAGGUAUUCGGACUUUAUAAUAGAUGAUAGGCUCAAGAAUGCCUAUUCAUUAUAAACCCUAUGUUUCCAGGUACGCGCAUUAAUCUGUCAUGGCGAAAUGCCAAAAACGGCAGUAUCAUCUGUGGGUAUGGAACCCAUGGGAUGGUUAAACAACAAAAGGCAAUAGAAAAGGUUUACACAGGGGCUUAAUCUAAAAAGAAACCUGUUGAACGGGGCCCUGCUGCACGUCUGCGCCUUUGUCUCCGUUGUGCCGUAUCCUGGAAGGGUAUCGUGCGAAAGUUGUAUGCGGAAAAAGAAAACUCAUAGGAGGUUACAACAUUAGUACACGAUGGAUAAAAGUGUAAGCCGUUGGCCUGCCAAUAAGGUUGAGCCAAGUGCGGGGCUUUAUUAGGUAGUUAUAGCCCCUGGUAUCCGCUAUAGGAUUACAUAUACGGUGCCCUGGUUUGAUCUGGGCUACCGUACUCGUCUAAUCGUGUCCAUGGUCUUAACGACCGGUCAUAUUUUUUUUGAUGUUGGAGGUCGCUUAUAGUCCGGCCGCGAGGGCCAUCGCAUGUUCCUCUGCGCAUGACGAGCGCUCUGUUAUUCCGCUAACGGUGAUGACGCCUCAUGGACCGGGCAUCUUAAGUGUAAGGUAGCCAUAGUGUGGCAAUGCAUUGAAGCAGGCGAAGGCCGUUCUUCCGAGCAUUGCGUGAUAAUCGCUUUGGAAGGGUGCGAUGAUGAAGAGUAGUUCUUCGCUUCUGGAGUUGCUUGGAGAGCCGAAUUUUACCUCCAGUAUGACGGAGCCCCUGCUGUAGGCUUCAACGCCUGGUAUCACCACUUCAAAGGUGGUGUUGCUUUGGCUGAUUCUGGAUGGGUUUAUCCCCAUCCUGCGGAUAGUGUCCUCACAUAUUAAACUGAGACUACUGCCGCCGUCCAUGAGGGCCCGGGUGAGACGGUAUCCGUCGAUCAUUAGGUCAAGCACCAAGGCCUCUGAUCCGCCGUGCUGAAUACUAGUCCGGCCAUCCAAGUGAUCGAAAGUGAUCGGAUAGGACAUCCAGUAGUUAGAUGUGGGAAUAAUGGACUCUAUAUCGCGUGCAUCUUUAUGCGCACGUUCGUGCCUUCUCAUGGGUGUACGAGUCGCGUGGAUCAUGUUCACUGUUUUAACUAAACCUGGGCAAACAUCGGGCCGGGCCGGGUUUUGGGCUGGGCUUGUAAAAGCCCGACCUUCAUUUCUCAAGCCCGAGCCCGGCCCGAAGCCUGAAAUACUCCAUAUUUUCAAGCCCGAGCCCGGCCCGAAGCCUGAAAUACUCCAUAUUUUCAAGCCCGAGCCCGGCCCGAAGUCAAGCCCGAAGCCCGAAAGCCCAGCCCGAAUGCUAUUUUAUAGUACGCGCACGUGCAAGCCCAGCCCGAAGCCCGAAAGCCCGGCCUGAAAUACGGGAAAAUUGAAGCCCGAGCCUGGCCCGAACUAUCUUUCGGGCUGCAAAACAAAGCCCGAGCCUGGCCCGAAUGUCAAGCCUGGCCCGGCUCGGUCCGGGUUUUUCGGGCCGGGCUCGGGCCGGGCUGCCCAUGCCCGGGUUUAGUUUUAACCUCUGGCGGGAAUUUUUUCUGUCCCCCAGUGCUCGGCUGGCGAGGUUCGUCCUCGUCCUCACUUGGUGUUCCCCUUCCCUUGUGUUCGGCAUUUAAUUUGCCGGCCUGCUUGAAGACCCAGCACUCUCUAUGCGUGUGGUUCGCAGGUUUGUCAGGGGUGCCAUGAAUUUGACAUAGUCUUUCCAGGACUCUGUUCAGACCGGACGGUCCCUCUUUGCUGCCUUUAGAUGGCUUAUUUUGCUGAUUAGGUCGAGAGCCCCUGAAUCCGGCAUUAACCAUCGUGUUAUCCGGGCUCUAUUCCUUGUUUUGGCGUUUGUUUUUAUGACGCUGCGGCUUCCCGUUGCCAUCCCUUAUUUCGGAUGUGUUGGGGUCACUGGUGCCUUUACGGGCUAGCCAGCUAUCUUUGCCCGCGCAGAAGUAGGUCAUAAGGCUUGUUAGGGCUGCCAUUGUCCUAGGCUUUUCUUGGCCGAGGUGUCUGGCGAGCCACUCGUCACGGAUGCUAUGUUUGAAUGCCGCUAAGGCUUUGGCAUCCGGACAAUCGACAAUUUGAUUCUUCUUAGUGAGGAAUCUGUUCCAAAGCUUGCGGGCAGACUCUCCGGGUUGUUGGAUUAUGUGACUUAAAUCUUCAGCAUCCGGAGGCCGGACAUAAGUCCCUUGAAAAUUGGCCCUGAAAGCAUCCUCGAGUUCCUCCCAGCUCCCAAUUGAAUUUUCGGGGAGGCUUUUCAACCAGUGCCGAGCUGGUCCCUUCAGUUUGAGGGGAAGGUAUUUGAUGGCGUGAAGGUCAUCCCCAUGAGCCAUAUAUAUCUGCAGGAUAAAGUCCUCGAUCCAGACCCCUGGGUCUGUCGUUCCGUCGUAUGCCUCUAUGUUCACAGGUUUAAAGCCCUGUGGGAAUUCAUGGUCCAGUACUUCAUCAGUAAAUCACAGGGGGUGAGCAGCCCCUCUGUAUUUGGACGUAUUGUGGCACGCCGUCGGCUGUUGUUGUGUUCGGUGUUUAUUCCGAACUGGUAUUUGGUUGUCAUAACUGUUUUGACGACCACAGUCCCCCGCCGGGGUGUGUCCUUUAGAUCCAUAGAUGGACCUAGCUGCACCAGCUUUCUUAUCCAGGUGCUCACAUAGAUCGUGCGCGUCUUCGGUAGUUGCUUUAUUGCGGUUAUGAAGUGGUACGUCUUGUCUCCUGGUCGUGUUAUUCUUUGGUGGAACGGCCUCGUCUUGAAUUCUGGCAGUAGCUUUCGUUUUGGGUAGCUCUUUGUGUGGCGAUCGUCGCCAUAUCUUUCUUCAGUGUCUAGCACUUUGUUCCAUCUGCGAUUGAGCGUUUCUUGUGCGGCUUUAAGCCGUUGCUUCUGCCUCUUCAGACUUCUCGCUGUGGCCAUAAGCUUUCUGUGGAGGUUCUCUCGUUCCACGCGUUCUUCCGGAAUGAUGAAUGCGUCAUCGUCUGGACCGUCUUCUUGUCCUGGGCCGGUUUGAUGAACUCGUCCCUCUGGAUCAUUGUCUUCGGGCGUCUGCUCUGAGCUAUGUUCAUCCUGACCUGGUUCGUCCUGCUCCAUCGCUGGUUCCGUUUGGUCGUUGUUGCCUUCGGGGUUGACCGAAGUAUCCAUCCUUCUGGCGCUCUUGCUGAUAUUUUUGCUGUUGCUGGAUUUGGAAUGGCGUCUGCACCGUCGCUUUUGUUUUUGCCCAGGGGUUUUAUCUUCCGGAUUGUCACCGUCGUCUUCCUUGGGUGUAUCCACCAUGUAUAUGUCAUGUGACGAGGCGGGAAUCUAGUACCCCAUAGAUUCUGAGUCUUCUCCUGCAUCGUCGUCCAUACCGUCGAUGCCUUCGGAGUCGAAGUCAAGCACGUCGGUUGAAUCAUCAACCGUGGCUAUGAAGUGGGUGGUGGGUGGGCAACGAAUUUUUUCUUCGCCUGCUUCCCACUUGAGCCGGACAUAGUUCGGACCAGAAUUCUCUGUUAGAGAGAGAAUUUUUAAUGAGUUCAGUAUGUCUCCAAAGGGCAAGUGCUGGAAGAUGUCCGCAGCGGUGAACUCCAUUACCGGGGCCCAACCAGGCUUGGUGGGCUCGAGAGUGCGUGGACUGGGACCUACAACCGGAUACAAAUCUGAGUGCCCAGAGUCACAGGCUUUCCCAGAGGUGGGGCCUGUGUUCGGCUCCAUCGCCGAUGAGGGUACAACCUGCGGGGCGAGGUCCAGCCCUCCAUGCUUAGGCAACGCAUCCUGCCCCGGAUUUAGAUCCGAGGCUUCUGCCGGGGUGAUAUCCCGAGCAUCGUCUGAUGGCAGGUCUAAGCCGUGCUCAUCAUGACUAUUCGGCGCUCCUUGCGCGAUCUGCUCCAGAUGACCAAGCAAAACGGUCUGCAGUGUGAAGUCGCCGAACACGAAGAUUUGUCCGGGGAGGAAAGUCUCAACCUGGACAGCCUCGUUGAUGAUAAUUGAAGGAGCCAUCAAGCCUUCCAGCGACAUCACAGAGGAACUCUCAAUGAAAGCACCAAUGUCGGUGUCAAAACCGGCGGAUCUCGGGUAGGGGGUCCCGAUCUGUGCGUCAAGGCUAAUGGUAACAUGAAGCAUGGACACAGAUGUUUACCCAGGUUCGGGCCCUCUCGAUGGAGGUAAAACCCUACUUCCUGCUUGAUUAAUAUUGAUGAUAUGGGUAGUACAAGAGUAGAUCUACCACGAGAUCAUAGAGGCUAAACCCUAAGAGCUAGCCUAUGAUGGUAUGAAUGUAAUUGUGAUCGGCCUUGUAAGGAUCAACCUCUCCGGUUUAUAUAGACACCGGAGAGAGCUAGGGUUUACUUGGAGUCGGUUAUAAGGAAGGAAAUAUAAUAUCCGGAUCACCAAGCUUGCCUCCCACGCAAAAGAGAGUCCCAUCUGGACACGGGCCGAAGUCUUGAGUCUUGUAUCUUCAUGCUUCAAUAGUCCGGACGUUGUACACAGUCCGGCUGUACGGAUACCCCCUAAUUCAGGACUCCCUCACCCGUCACUGAGCCCAUAGAGUUUUCCUUUGAUGCACCAACCUAGAAUCUAGGAAAGAGCAUGGCAGCCCACAUCACCAUGGGACGUAUUGGAGAAGUUUACCACAAGGAGCUUAAGGAUACUAUCUACCAGAUUUGUGGGCCCCGAGAUGAGCAAUGGGAGAUGAUCAGCACCAGGAAGGACAGAUCAAUUACAACUUUCAUCCAGGAGUUAAACCAGCACAUUCGACGCCAGGAGAACCAGAUGUGCGCAGGCAUGAUGGAUCUAAAGAAGUCCAUGACCAAGAUCACGGAACUGGAGGAGGAACUCAAGUCUACACACGAUGGAUAUGAGGAGGAAAUAGCAACGCUAGUAGAGAAGAAUGAUGAUCUGAAGAAGAAGCUAAGAGUGUUUAUGGGAUUUCCCGCAACUGGAGGGGAUGAAGAUUGCACUUGUCCAGAGAACUACAUCAUCAUCGACGACACCGACUCGGACCCAGACGAUAGUGAUGAUGACUAUGUUGACGAAGCUGGAGCAGAUAUCAUGGAGUCUUCAUCGGAGCAGUUUUUCUAGUAGACCACCAUAACAGUAGUAGUAUUUCCCUCCAUGUAUCUAUUAUAGUUUGAGCACUUUUGUAAUGAUAGAUAGACCGUUGUAUGCACUUGCUUGAUUGAAUGAAGUGUUUUGAGUGCAUUUGUCUCAUGUGCAUAUGGGUAGUGUUUUCCCUCUAGACCUCAUUCUAUUCUGUAUUCUCAUCUUUUCUAAACCCUCAGAUGCCUCCGAGACGCGACAAUGGAUUUGCUUUCCCACCGGAGCUCACUCAGUUGAUCCAGCAGCAGAAUGCCUUGAUGCAGUUGUUAGUACAGAAUCAGAAUCAGGGGAACAACAAUAACAACAAGAACCCACCACCACCACCACCUGUGGAUCACUUAACCCAUUUUCUUAGGCUGAAUCCGCUGGUGUUCUCCAGUAGCAUCGAGCCGAUUGUUGUAGAUGAUUGGCUUCGCAAGACAGCCAUGGAGUUGACCACUGCAGGAUGCACAAAUGCGGAGAAGGUGCGAUUUGCCGCACAUCAGCUCGAAGGACCCGUAGCAUCAUGGUGGGAGAAUUUCACGGCCACCUAUCCAACAGACACAGUCACAUGGGAUCAGUUUCAGCAGGCUUUCCGUACUGCCCAUGUUUCAGCAGGAGCUAUGGCCAUGAAGAAGCAUGAGUUUCACAACUUACGCCAAGGAGGACGUACAGUUGGCCAGUAUGUGGAUGACUUUAGUGAGCUAGCACGUUAUGCCCCUGAUGACGUUGCUACGGAUGCAUCUAAGCAAGAUAAGUUUCUGGAAGGACUGAAUGAUGAGCUAAGCAUGCAGUUGAUGGUAGCAAGUUUCAAUAACUACCAGGAGCUGGUAGAUAGAUCUCUCAUGAUUUAAGGGAAGCAGCAGCAGAUUGAGAACCGCAAGAGGAAGUAUGGACAAGGGAAGUACAAUUCUGGAGCUCAGCAGAACCCACGUUUUACCCCGAAAUUGGGAGGACAGUACCACCAUACCCAUGGAGGUGGUAGUUCACACAAAUAUAAUGGUUCCAAGAAUGGUAACGGGAAUGGAGGAAAUAAUGGCCAGAACCGUACCAACCCCUCAACACCAGCCAAGAGAGAUCUGAGUCAAGUCACUUGCUUUAAGUGCCAAAAGACCGGACAUUACGCCAAUGAAUGUCCUGAAGGCCAGAAUGGAAAUGACAAUGGAAGCUCUGGGAAGAAGCCAAACCCUUUCAACAGAGGAUAGGUGAACCACGUUAGUGUGGAGGAGGUUGAAGCCCAGCCCGAUGCAGUAAUAGGUAAGUUUUUGGUUAAGUCAUUUACUGCACUCGUUCUUUUUGAUACUGGUGCAUCACAUUCAUACAUAUCAAGGGGAUUUGUGGAUAAGUAUAAACUGCCAACCCAAGCCCUUAGGUCACCCAUGUUGGUAACCUCGCCUGGAGCAAAAUAUAUGGCUAGAAUAUGGUGUGAUCGGUUACCAUUAAGGAUUGGUAACUAUGUGUUUCCCUCGGACCUAAUAGUAUUGGAAUCACAAGGAUUGGAUGUGAUAUUAGGCAUGGAUUGGUUAUCAAAGUAUGGAGGGAACAUUGAAUGCGCCAGUAAGACGAUUUUGCUUACAACGCCAGAAGGAAAGAGGAUCAAGUAUGUAUCCCGGCAUGAGCCGAAGAGGACUCAAGUAAAUUCCUUAUCAGGAGUUGUGCAGGAGGAAGUACCAGUGGUGAAGGAUUUUCCUGAUGUAUUUCCAGAAGAGUUGCCAGGCAUGCCACCGGAUAGAGACAUCAAGUUUUUGAUUGAGCUUUUGCCAGGCACAGGGCCGAUAUCUAAGAGACUGUACCGGAUGCCCGCUAAGGAUAUGGAGGAAAUUAAGAAGCAGAUUAAAGAGUUACUGGAUAAAGGCUAUAUUCGCCCAAGUUCUUCGCCUUGGGGAUCACCAGUACUUCUAGUGGAGAAGAAGGAUGGAUCAUUGAGGAUGGUUGUUGACUAUCGAGGAUUGAAUGCAGUAACAAUCAAGAACAAGUACCCAUUGUCGAUGAUCAAUGAUCUGUUUGACCGAUUGCAAGGAGCAAAGGUAUUUUCCAAGAUUGAUUUGCAAUCAGGAUACCAUCAGUUGAAGAUUCGAGAGCAGGAUAUACCUAAGACAACUUUUACCACCAGGUACGGGCUAUAUGAGUAUACCGUUAUGUCAUUUGGUCUGACUAACGCACCUGCCUAUUUCAUGAACAUGAUGAACAAGGUGUUUAUGGAAUUCUUGGAUAAGUUCGUCGUGGUGUUCAUUGAUGAUAUUUUGGUCUACUCGAAGAACGAAGAGGAGCAUAAGGAGCAUUUGCGUUUGGUACUCGAGAAGCUCAAAGAACAUCAGUUAUAUGCCAAGUUCAGCAAACAUGUUAUAUCCGGAGAAGGAAUAGCAGUAGAUCCCACCAAAGUGGUCACUGUGACCAAUUGGGUAGCACCAACGACAGUUGGAGAGAUCCGGAGUUUUCUUGGACUGGCAGGAUACUACUGGAGAUUCAUUGAGAAUUUCUCAAAGAUUGCAAAGCCCAUGACGGAGUUGUUGAAGAAGGAUACCAAGUUCAAUUGGACUGAGGAAUGUGAUGCCAGUUUCUAGGAGUUGAAGGAACGUCUAGUUACCUCACUAGUGUUGAUUCUACCAGAUCAGAGCAAGGAUUAUGAGGUGUAUUGCGACGCUUCACGUCGAGGACUUGGAGCAGUGCUUAUGCAGGAGGGGAGAGUUGUUUUGUAUGCUUCACGAUAGCUUAAACCUCAUGAGUUGAAUUAUGCCACACAUGAUUUGGAGUUAGCAGCCAUAGUGCAUGCGUUGAAGACAUGGAGACAUUUUCUUAUCGAAAAUCAUUGUGAGGUGUACACAGAUCACAAGAGUUUGAAGUAUAUUUUCACGCAGAAUGAGUUGAAUCUCAGGCAGAGGAGAUGGUUGGAGCUCAUCAAGGAUUAUGAUAUGAGAUUCCAGUAUCACCCCGGAAAGGCUAACGUAGUAGACGACGCAUUGAGCCGUAAGAGCCAUGUCAAUACACUCAUGACCGGAGAGUUACCGAAGGAGUUAGCCGAGGAACUUCGUGAACUAUGUUUGGAGAUAGUUCCAAGAGGCUAUGUAGCAGUAAUGGAAAUUCAGUCGACUUUGAUGGAUAAGAUCAGGGAAGCUCAGAAGGCUGACAAGGAAAUUGCCGAGAUAAAGGAGAAGAUGAGCAAAGGUAAAGCUAAGGGAUUUCGUGAGGAUGAGCACGAUACCUUAUGGUUUGAAGACCGUGUUUAUGUGCCUAAUGACCCGGAGAUCAGGAAGUUGAUUUUGCAAGAGGCCCAUGAUUCGCCGUAUUCGAUUCACCCAGGAAAUACCAAGAUGUAUUUGGAUUUGAAGAACACUUUUUGGUGGACCGGAAUGAAGAAGGAUAUUGCGGAGUAUGUAGCAGUUUGUGAUGUAUGUCAUAGAGUAAAGGCAGAGCAUCAGAAGCCAGCAGGAUUGUUACAACCAUUGCCGAUACCCGAAUGGAAGUGGGAUAAACUAGGCAUGGAUUUUUUUACGGGAUUGCCCAAUACUCGUUCAGGCUAUGAUUCGAUUUGGGUUGUAGUCGAUCGUUUGACGAAGGUAGCACAUUUCAUUCUAGUGAUGUCCACUUACACCAGUGCUAAGUUGGCCAAGAUAUACAUAACCAGGAUCGUAUGUCUGCAUGGAGUUCCGAGGAGCAUUGUAUCAGAUAGAGGAACCCAGUUUACCUCAAAGUUCUGGAAUCAGUUGCGCGAAACUUUGGGUACCAGGCUAGAGUUCAGUACAACUUUUCAUCCGUAGACAGAUGGACAGACCGAGAGAGUCAAUCAGAUUUUGGAGGAUAUGCUGAGAGCUUGUGCGCUAGAUUAUGGAUCUAGUUGGGACAACAAUUUGCCAUAUGCAGAGUUCUCUUACAACAACAGUUAUCAAUCCAGCUUGAAGAUGGCCCCUUUCGAAGCCCUAUACGGAAGGAGGUGCAGGACCCCGUUGUCGUGGGAUGAAGUUGGAGACCGCCAGUUGUUUGGACCGCAUUUGAUUAAGGAGUCUGAAUGGAAAGUGAAGUUGAUUCGCGACAAGCUCAAGGUAGCCAGUCCAAGCAGAAAAGCUAUGUCGAUUCAAAACGCAAGGAGACAGUUUACAAAGUUGGAGAUAGAGUCUAUCUUCGUGUAUCACCACUUUGAGGAGUUAAGCGAUUUGGAGUUAAAGGAAAGUUAGCACCACGUUUUGUGGGACCAUACAAAGUUUUGGAGCGUAUGAGAGAAGUUGCCUACAAGUUGGAAUUGCCUGAAGGAUUGUCAGGAGUUCACAACGUGUUCCAUGUUUCACAGUUGAAGAAGUGCCACGCAGAGAUGGCUGAUAUACCGUUGAGAGAUACAGUGCCGCUAGAGGCAAUUCAGUUGGACAGUGAUUUGACCUAUGAGGAGAAACCAGUUAAGAUUCUUGAGUAUGCCAGCCGAGUCACCCGCGGCAAGGUUAUCAAGUUUUGCAAAGUUCAGUGGAGCCACCACACCCAGGAUGAAGCCACCUGGGAGCGAGAGGAAGAUCUGCUGAAGGACCAUCCUCACCUAUUUUCUAGCCAACCCGAAUCUCGAGGGCGAGAUUCAUCUUAAGGGGGGUAGGUUUGUAACAUCCCAAAUUUUCAAUUUGGAAUGUUAUACAAUAGAUCAUUAUUGCACAUCAUAUUUAUUGCAUUUUUUCCUCGAUCCUGGAAAUUCUACGCAACUCAAGGACCCAUGGAGAAAGUUGGGGAUUUCUUAAAUUUCAUAUUUGAGUUUUCUCAAAUUUUGGAAAUAGGAUCAUUUGAUUUUAUUUAUUUUAUCUUCAAUUAUUUCAAAUUAUAAAUUAUGAGAGAGGGAAUAAAAUGACUUUCCCAAAUAAAUAAAAUAUUGAGGAUUUAAUAAAAAAAUCAAAUAAGAUUUUAUUUUGGAUUUUAUUGCUAUUUUAUUUGAAUUUAGGGAAAAUGCGUGUUUUUCAAAAUUGCAUUUAGGCCCCAAAUAAAUGUUCAUCUAAACCGGCUUGAUUUUAGGAGCCGGGGAAAUUUUAUUUCGGGAUUUUUGGAGUCCGUUUAGUAUUUCUUUCGUUUGCUUUCCUGCGCGAAAAUUAUUAUUUUUAAAAAAAUCCGAACCGACUACGGGCUGGGAUCGGCCAGGACUCUCCUGGUCGGGGCCUUUAUAUAUCGCCACCCCAAGCCGCCACCGCCGCCCCAAACCCUAGCCGCCGCCAGCCCGCGCCGCCGCCACCGCCGCCGCCGCCACCGACGACCCGCACGCCGAGGUUGACCCCCCCGCCGUCACCGUUAUUUUAGAAAAACCGUUUGGUUUUUCCGUCGGUUAAUCUAUUUUUUUAUCAGAUCGGUUUUUUUGGUUUAGGUUAAUUAGCGAGUGUUCGCUCGUUUGUUCGUUUUAACGAACGCGUUCAUCGUUUAGAUCCAGACAACGAACGUUCGUUCGUUAAUCUUUUCGUCGUUUUUUUCUCGGAUUUAUUUCGCGAUUUUUCUGAUCGCGAUUUCUGAUCCGAUUUUCGUAUUAGUAUAACUUUUCGCUCGUUUAUCGGAAUCAGGCGAUUCAAGCGCCUAGAGUUUCGUCUCGAAACCCUCUUUCCGAAUAACCAACUCAAACAAGUUUUUGCUACUGUAAAAUUUGACUUAGGUCCAGAUUAGUAAACGAAGCUUGUUUCUUUCGCCGUUUGACUUUCCUUGCUUCGUUCGAUUUGAUUCUUUUUGCAAACCGGAGUUCUUAAGUUGAACUUUCUAGUUAGAUCUCUUAUCUGAGUUUUAUCUGUGCAUUAGAUGAGUACUUAUUGUAUGCUUGUUUGUUUGCGAUAGAGUAUCCGGAUUGCCGCGCUUGCUACUUCGAAUCCCUAGGUUUCGCGGAUCAUCAGCAAGGCAAGUAAAACUUUGAUCAUACCUCUUUACUACCCAGUUUUAUUGCAUUAGAUCAAUCCUCAAACAAUUGCAUGAUUAGGAACUGAUUUAAUAUGUGGAUUUUGGGAAGUAGAUGAGGUAGUGCCUAUUACCUGUUUUAUUAUCAAACCCUUGGGAGUUACUCUACGUUUGCUUAUUAUGCCAUGCUAUGCUAGUAGACGUGGAUUGGGUGAGUGUAUCCAUGACAGAUGUGAGAUUGUUAAUUUAAUGGUUUAUUUUAAGGUGGCAACUUUAAUACACAUCUGGGUGGAUUGAGGCACCUGGGUAUUCCAGCGAUUGCCUGUUUUUCUUUUGGACCGCCACCUAGGCUCAAAGGGAUCAUGAGAUUAUUCAUGCUAGAAACUUCCGUGUGCAACCACAAGCUACUAUGGGCUCUAGCAUAAUUGACUAAGUUGUGUGAACUCUUACAGUGGUAGACUAGCAGAUGUAGGGGAUGUAGGUUGGUACUGUCUACCCAAUCGUAAGGUGCUAGCGCUUCUGAAAGACUAUGUCUCAGUCAUCCGUUUCUCAAACACCAUGUAGUGCGAGAAUCCCAACGGAGGAGAUCGAGUCUUGUGGGGAAAAGUGCGCAAACCUCUGCAGAGUGUACAAACUAAUCAUGGUUAGCCGUGUCCCCGGUUAUGGACAUCUUGAGUAUCUAGUACUUGGAUUAUCAUGUGAAUCUCAUCAUGUUACUUUAAUUAAUAUUGUUUGGUUUGUUUAAUAAUGAUGUUACUUAAUUGGGAUUGAGAAUGCUGUCAACCAUUCUCAGUGUUUAACAACCACCAUGAUAGUUAAAUAAAUUUAUCCCUUUGCAGUAGGGAAAAAUUGGCUUUAUGCAAAAACUGUAACCAUAGAGCUUUCCACCAGCCAUAUAUACAUGUAGUAUAGCAUUAUUCUUUCAUUACUCUCUAUGUGUUAUAUUGCCAGCAUAUUCCAUGUGCUGACCCAUUUUGGGUUGCAACGUUCAUGUUGCAGACUUUUCAGACGACGAGUAAGAUGCCUUAGGAUCGUGGUUCUAUACUCAGUGAUGCCGUUGGAGUUGAUGGACUCACUUAUCUUCCAAGGCUUCCAUUGUUAUCGUUAUUUAGAUGGCCUUAAGCCAUAUUUAUUGUAAUAAGCUCUCUUUGGAGACAUUCGAUGUAAUAAGUGUGUGAUUGCUACUUUGUUAUAAAUCUUUCGAGUAC